UUCUUCAAGUAUUGGAAUUCAGUCUGCUAUUGUGAUUUAGGCUAACUUCUCAACUUUUCGAACCAGAUUAAAAUACAACAACAACAACAACAACAACAACAACAACCCAGUAUAAUCCCACUUAAUGGGGUCUGGGGAGGGUAGUAUGUACGCAGACCUUACCCCUACCUUGGGGUAGUGGGGUAGAGAGGCUGUUUCCAGAUAGACCCCCGGCAUCCUUCCCUCCAAGAACUUCCCACCUAUCUUACUUAGUGAGGUCUGGGAGGAUAAUGUGUAUGCAGACCUUACCCAUACCCUUGGAUAGAGAGGCUAUUUCCAAAUAUACCCCCGGCAUACUUACCUCCAAGAACUUCCCACCUUGCUCUUGGGGAGACUCGAACUCACAAUCUCUCGAUUGGAAGUGGGGGUUGCUUACCAUCAGAGCAACCCCUCUUGUCGAACCAGAUUAAAAUAGAGUUGGAAAUUUUAUUUCAGCAAUUGUAGUUUACUUGUUAUGAUCCUUUAUGCAAAUUGGAGUCUUCUCUAUGGCUGGAA
rnacentral:lncRNA from 1 species